UACGUAGGGACCAAGCGUUGUUCGGAUUUACUGGGCGUAAAGGGCGCGUAGGCGGCGUGGUAAGUCACUUGUGAAAUCUCUGAGCUUAACUCAGAACGGCCAAGUGAUACUGCUGUGCUAGAGUGCGGAAGGGGCAAUCAGAAUUCUUGGUGUAGCGGUGAAAUGCGUAGAUAUCAAGAGGAAUACCUGAGGUGAAGACGGGUUGCUAGGCCGACACUGACGCUGAGGCGCGAAAGCCAGGGGAGCAAACGGG
rnacentral:rRNA from 1 species